GACGAACGCUGGCGGCGUGCUUAACACAUGCAAGUCGAACGAUGAAGCUGGAGCUUGCUCCGGUGGAUUAGUGGCGAACGGGUGAGUAACACGUGUGCAAUCUGCCCUUCACUCUGGGAUAACUGCGGGAAACUGUAGCUAAUACCGGAUACGAGACCUUGGGGCAUCCCAGGGUCUGGAAAGAAUUUCGGUGAAGGAUGAGCUCGCGGCCUAUCAGCUAGUUGGUGAGGUAAUGGCUCACCAAGGCGACGACGGGUAGCCGGCCUGAGAGGGUGACCGGCCACACUGGGACUGAGACACGGCCCAGACUCCUACGGGAGGCAGCAGUGGGGAAUAUUGCACAAUGGGCGAAAGCCUGAUGCAGCAACGCCGCGUGAGGGAUGAAGGCCUUCGGGUUGUAAACCUCUUUUAGUAGGGAAGAAGCGCAAGUGGCGGUACCUACAGAAAAAGCACCGGCUAACUACGUGCCAGCAGCCGCCGCGG
rnacentral:rRNA from 1 species